UACGUAGGGUGCAAGCGUUGUCCGGAAUUAUUGGGCGUAAAGAGCUCGUAGGCGGUUUGUUGCGUCGGCUGUGAAAACCUGAGGCUCAACCUCAGGCCUGCAGUCGAUACGAGCAGACUAGAGUGUCGCAGGGGAGACUGGAAUUCCUGGUGUAGCGGUGAAAUGCGUAGAUAUCGGGAGGAACACCUGAGGCGAAGGCGGGUUACUGGGCUGAUACUGACGCUGAUGCGCGAAAGCCAGGGGAGCAAACGGG
rnacentral:rRNA from 1 species